rnacentral:lncRNA from 1 species
CUUGGAAAGAGUGUCAGUUUUUGUCAGACCUAUAAGUGACACUUAAAACAUCAAAUUUGUGAUAAGGAGUCAUGAACUAUGAUUCUCGUAGAUUUCAGUUUCCAUUUUGAUAUUGCUAUUACAGUGAGAAAACAUAUGAAGAUGCUAUUUCAUUGAGAAAUCUACUCAUCCCAUCUUCAAAUACUUCUCACAAGGCCACCAGUAAAUCAAGACCAAUAUAGGUCUUAUUGAACACACAUUCUGAAUAUGGAUGUUUUGGCUGGCAUCACCUUGGUCUCCACGUUGCACAGACUGAUGGACCACUGCGAGUACGCUAACACGAGGGACACAAAGGUACAGGCUGGGCAGCAAAGGAAGACAUCCUCUUGCCAAGGAAACAGAAGAUUGCCUGACUUUUCAAUGAGCAAAUGAUUCCAUAAAUUGAAUGAAUAAUAAUCUAGGGGGCGACAGUGUCAUGGACUGAAAAAAACAAGAGCUGUCAAAGCCACGUGACCGAAAUCAGGGGUCUGUCAAUUCUCUAAUGUUUCAUCAGCAAUGUUAAAAGGUUGACAGGAAUGACAGGAAUCAAGUUUAAGAAUGACUUAUCUUUUCCCUGAAAUGCUUUAUAAUUGACAUCUUGGAGAGAUGACUUUUGAAAAUGUAUAUCGCAAC